UACAGAGGUCUCAAGCGUUGUUCGGAUUCAUUGGGCGUAAAGGGUGCGUAGGUGGCGCGCUAAGUCAGGUGUGAAAUUUCGGAGCUUAACUCCGAAACUGCAUUUGAUACUGGCGUGCUUGAGGACUGGAGAGGAGACUGGAAUUCAUGGUGUAGCAGUGAGAUGCGUAGAGAUCAUGAGGAAGACCAGUGGCGAAGGCGGGUCUCUGGACAGUUCCUGACACUGAGGCACGAAGGCCAGGGGAGCAAACGGG
rnacentral:rRNA from 1 species